AAAACUUGUCUUUCUUU
rnacentral:sRNA from 1 species